UACGGAAGGCAGCAGUGGGGAAUAUUGCACAAUGGGCGCAAGCCUGAUGCAGCCAUGCCGCGUGUAUGAAAAAGGCCUUCGGGUUGUAAAGUACUUUCAGUCGUGAGGAAGGUGUUAAGGUUAAUAACCUUAGCAAUUGACGUUAGCGACAGAAGAAGCACCGGCUAACUCCGUGCCAGCAGUCGCGGUAAUACGGAGGGUGCGAGCGUUAAUCGGAAUUACUGGGCGUAAAGGGCACGCAGGCGGUUAAUUAAGUUGGAUGUGAAAUCCCCGGGCUUAACCUGGGAAUGGCAUUCAAGACUGGUUAGCUAGAGUCUUGUAGAGGGGGUAGAAUUCCAUGUGUAGCGGUGAAAUGCGUAGAGAUGUGGAGGAAUACCGGUGGCGAAGGCGGCCCCUGGACAAAGACUGACGCUCAUGUGCGAAAGCGUGGGGAGCAAACAGGGAUUAGAUACC
rnacentral:rRNA from 1 species